UGCGACCGGCGCACGGUGCGUAACGCGUAUGCAACCUACCUUUAACAGGGGGAUAACACUGAGAAAUUGGUACUAAUACCCCAUAAUAUCAUAGAAGGCAUCUUUUAUGGUUGAAAAUUCCGAUGGUUAGAGAUGGGCAUGCGUUGUAUUAGCUAGUUGGUGGGGUAACGGCUCACCAAGGCGACGAUACAUAGGGGGACUGAGAGGUUAACCCCCCACACUGGUACUGAGACACGGACCAG
rnacentral:rRNA from 1 species